CUAAGCCAUGCGAGUCAUUGUAGCAAUACAAGGCAGACGGCUCAGUAACGCGUAGUCAAUCUACCCUAUGGACGGGAAUAACCUCGGGAAACUGAGAAUAAUGCCCGAUAGAACAUUAUGCCUGGAAUGGUUUAUGUUUCAAAUGAUUUAUCGCCAUAGGAUGGGACUGCGGCCUAUCAGUUUGUUGGUGAGGUAAUGGCCCACCAAGACUAUUACAGGUACGGGCUCUGAGAGGAGUAGCCCGGAGAUGGGUACUGAGACACGGACCCAGGCCCUAUGGGGCGCAGCAGGCGAGAAAACUUUGCAAUGUGCGAAAGCACGACAAGGUUAAUCCGAGUGGUUUCUGCUAAAGAAACCUUUUGUCAGUCCUAGAAACACUGACGAAUAAGGGGUGGGCAAGUUCUGGUGUCAGCCGCCGCGGUAAAACCAGCACCUCAAGUGGUCAGGAUGAUUAUUGGGCCUAAAGCAUCCGUAGCUCGUUUUGUAAGUUUUCAGUUAAAUCCAUGCGCUUAACGUAUGGGCUGCCGGGAAUACUGCAUAACUAGGAAGUGGGAGAGGUAGACGGUACUCGGUAGGAAGGGGUAAAAUCCUUUGAUCUAUUGAUGACCACCUGUGGCGAAGGCGGUCUACCAGAACACGUUCGACGGUGAGGGAUGAAAGCUGGGGGAGCAAACCGGAUUAGAUACCCGGGUAGUCCCAGCUGUAAACUAUGCAAACUCAGUGAUGCAUUGGCUUGUGGCCAAUGCAGUGCUGCAGGGAAGCCGUUAAGUUUGCCGCCUGGGAAGUACGUACGCAAGUAUGAAACUUAAAGGAAUUGGCGGGGGAGCACCACAAGGGGUGAAGCCUGCGGUUCAAUUGGAGUCAACGCCAGAAAUCUUACCCGGAGAGACAGCAGAAUGAAGGUCAAGCUGAAGACUUUACCAGACAAGCUGAGAGGAGGUGCAUGGCCA
rnacentral:rRNA from 1 species